GUGGGCUGUGCAGUGGGCUGUGCAGUGGGCUGUGCAGUGGGCUGUGCAGUGGGCUGUGCAGUGGGCUGUGCAGUGGGCUGUGCAGUGGGCUGUGCAGGCUUUACACAUGUGCAAAUGUGUUAAUGGUUGCAUCAUUGAUGAUCUCCCAUGAGGAAAUGUUUACUCUUCAAUUUCCUGAUACAGGAGACUACAAACUGGACCUGUAAAAACUCAUGCAUACAGUAUUUGCACAGUUGGUUACAUGAGUGGAAAUGUGAUGCAAAAAUAAUUGAUAGUUGUGAUUUUUCCAGAUUAUUAUGGAAGUUGUUCUGUGUUGUCCAUUUAGUGUUUAGUAAUAGUGAAUGACUGUUUGCCAGUCAUUUUACCUUUAAAAUAGUUGCAUUAUUUGUGAGAUUUGUAUCUUGAAGUGGGAUCUGAAAAUGGUAAAAGGAAAACAAGUAUAAAAAAUAUUUAAUCAAAGCAUCCCUUUCAGGUAGCAUGUCCUGGGCAGGGAGGAACAAACCAAAGUGCUCAGAGAAUUAUAAGCAAAGACACCUUAGACGCCUUAUUAGAGGGUUUUUUUCUGUAGAAAGGCCCAAGAGCGUGACUACACAGAGCUCAGGUAUCCGUUGACUUUCCACCUCCGCAAAGCAUUUAAUUAGCCUGGUCCCAGACCUGUUUGUGUGGUCUUGCUAUCUCAUAAGGGCGUGUCAACAUUUUAGAGGGAAAAAAACAUCAAAAAGAGGAUGGAUUCAUUUACUGUAGGUCAGUGGGCCAUGCCAUAUCCUCUUCUAAUUGGAUAGCGCAUCAGAACUCCUCUAAACCUUUUUUUUGGGGUGGUAAUUGAUGGAUAUGUACCGUUGUCCAUCAACUUAUAAUGGACAAAAUCAUUGACAUCUUCCAAAUCAUUGGAAGUCGACGAUUGGCUAAUUGACUGCAUAGAGAAUGUCAAGUUGUGUUCGUGCGUGCAUGUGUGUGUUCUUGCGUGCCCACAUAAGUGUUUUUUACGAAAUGCAAGAGAAUUAGCAUCAAUGGUUGAAUGGAAAUCUAACAGCAGAUUGGUUGCCACUCAGGACACUCAAGUCAUGUGUGGCUGCUUCCUACUUCCCUCUAGCUCUUUAGCUGAGCCAGUUAGGUGGGGUCGGAUUAACACGCAGUUCUACACGAAAGCGGUCAGGAGAAAAACGAGUCUCGUGAGGCGACCAGACUUCCUAUCUAGGUUUUUAUACAACCGCUUAUGUUGGUCCUCUCACCUUUAUUCUGCCGCGCGCAUUCUCAAGACACCCUCCACGUCUGCAGUUACCCAUGAUUCAUUUAAGAUGGCGAGAUCUGGGACCGUGCUAACAACCCCUCUACCCACCCUUCCCUGUAGAAUGAAAGAAACAAAAAAGAAAUCCCAUUUUGAUUGAACUGGGCAUACAAAAAACGGAGAGGUAUAAUGCUGUUAUAUUCCAUUGGACCUCAUGACAGUUUUACUAAGUGGUUUCAGAUUUGCUACAGUUUUUAAAGCUGUUCCACUGGGACUGCAGAAAUGUUAUGUUGUAGUGGCUUUUGUGUUUGGAAUUGGGAAAGAUGUUUAAUGCAGUUACUACAACACUUUCCCACUGCCUUUUUGGUAAUUAAACUCCUACUUGCUUUAUCUCCUUGUCUGAUGUGUUGUUUAAGAUGUGUUGCCAGAUGUUUUUGUUUUCUGAUGAAUGAACAGAACCAUGUCAGCA
ensembl:lncRNA